rnacentral:piRNA from 1 species
UCCAUUGUGGUUGUCUAUUGGCUGGAU